AUUCGCCGAACGGUUAGUUACAG
rnacentral:siRNA from 1 species